GAUGAACGCUGGCGGCGUGCCUAAUACAUGCAAGUCGAGCGAACAGAUGAGGAGCUUGCUCCUCUGACGUUAGCGGCGGACGGGUGAGUAACACGUGGAUAACCUACCUAUAAGACUGGGAUAACUUCGGGAAACCGGAGCUAAUACCGGAUAAUAUAUUGAACCGCAUGGUUCAAUAGUGAAAGACGGUUUUGCUGUCACUUAUAGAUGGAUCCGCGCCGCAUUAGCUAGUUGGUAAGGUAACGGCUUACCAAGGCAACGAUGCGUAGCCGACCUGAGAGGGUGAUCGGCCACACUGGAACUGAGACACGGCCCAGACUCCUACGGGAGGCAGCAGUAGGGAAUCUUGCGCAAUGGGCGAAAGCCUGACGGAGCCAUGCCGCGUGAGUGAUGAAGGUCUUCGGAUCGUAAACCGCUGUUAUUCGGGAAGAACAACUGUGUAAGUAACUAUGCACGUCUUGACGGUACCUAAUCAGAAAGCAACGGCUAACUACGUG
rnacentral:rRNA from 1 species